rnacentral:lncRNA from 1 species
AUGCUAUGUUUGACAAGGAAAGCUAAUACUCGUGAACUGGUCUGAGAGAACAUGUUGCCGUGGGAAGAAUGCACUCAAACAUUGGUUUUUAACAUUUGAAUUUAUCUCACAAAUCAUAAGUGAAGAAGUAAAUUGGUCAUAAAAUGAAAAUACUUUAACAAUCUCACAAUUUUUACACCAUGAACAUAUAUUGUCGCAAAAAAUCUUCAUGAAAUUAGGCCGCCUGUAGAACUAGCAAAAACUGGUACCAAAGACUGCCCCUGCCCAGUUAGUGUAAAAUACCAUUUUAGCAACAGGAAUAAAAAUUGCAUUUAACUUAGUGCUGAGCCAAAAAUCAAACCUCCACUACAAAUGCUCUCCAAGGACCCAAGAAAACAGGUGGCAGAACGCUUCAGUGCUUCCAGAGAAAGAACUACGACUUAUAUCAGUGGUCUACUAUGUCAUACAAAUGAAAACUAAAUUAAUUAGUAGAUAAAUAUUUAAACAUAACAUCAUUGAACUGUUCUUUUAGACUAUUUCAACGAUCGGUUGCACCAGCAAACCAGCCGCUUGACCAAUCACUUGCCCAACGGUUUCAAAUAAUUAUGAUACAACUCAUGGUCAAAAUUAUACUUGGGCGGCAGUGAGCAAUGCCAAGUCAAAAAACAUAAUAUAAGAGCAUCUACAACCGGACUCCCCAUACCCGCCCCAAACGCGUGGACGGGCUGUCCGGUUAGUGCCCGGACGGAAAAACGCCACCCAAACGCCCGAACUUACCGGCACUCCCCAUAUCCGGACCAAAUAUGGGGCGGAUAUCGGGACGCCCGGACGCGCCUGCCACGUCGGACUGACCACUAGGGCCCACCCAAUUCGCUCAUAUCCUCCUCCCCUCUCCUUGCCCGAGAAGCCCUCUCCUCUUCUCUGUUCGCCCUCCUCCGCACAGCCGCACCGGACUUCCGCCGCUAUCGAUGCUCCGCCGCCAUCCUCAACUUAGGGCUUCGCCACCGGACGCCCCAACGCACACCGCCGCCGACCAGGCCGCCACCGAGCGCCGCCCCGGUACGUCAAAACACCACCAUACUUUCACCCCACGCUCUACGUGUUCGAUGAAAUGUCCGAGCCGGUUUUUUGUUCUUUCGGUCAUUACUUCUAGGUCACCAAUGGAAUCGUCGUGGAAUGAUGGCGAUGGAAACGAUGAUCUAGAUGAAUUCAUAUUCAACGAGUUCAUCGCAUCAUCGGAUUCGGAGGAUGAGGAUGUCGAAAUGAUGAUGAUGAUGAUGAGCAUCCACAGCUGCGAGAUCAACAAGUGCAUAUGCAACUUCUGGGUGAUCUUGUCGAGCAAAUGUGGACGCACACUGGAAAUCAGUAAACUUAGUCUUUUGUUUUAUCAGUUAUGCACUAUGAACAAUAUUUAUGUUUGAACUAUAUUUGAAUUAUGUACUAUUAAUUAUGAACUAUUUGUAUUUGUGUGCACUAAGCUAUGUUUGUCCAAAAUGAUCGACGUGCAUGUGUUUGCGUGGAUUUGGUGUUUUGAAAAUAGGGACCGUGGUUGCAAAUGCCAAGUUUAGAUGCUUGUCCGGUCACUGUCCGCGGGCGUAUAGGGGCUCGGAUUAGCUAUCCGUGGUUGUAGAUGCUCUAAUAAUAUUACCAGAGAUGUAAAAUUCAUCACUAAAUUAGUGGAAUCAAGUAUCAAGAUUCAACAAGAUGAACUAAAAAUUACUAACACCUCAACUAUGACAAGGUAACAUUUAAAAAUCCGCACACUCAUUAAACUCGGAGCAACUUCCAAAGUGUGGUUAAAAUGAAUCAUAUGUGAGAGAUGACUCAUCAAAGCACCGAUUCAGGAAGGCAUUUAUCAUACCAGUAAGCUUAGAUCUAAUGCUACAAAUGAUUGGCCAAAUGGAAGUACCAUAUGCAGAGUGAGUUGACUGGAUAAUAACAAAUCUUCAUGUACCCACGGUGGCACUUAGCCUAAUUCUGCAAAAUAAGCUUGUGAACUUUCUUGG